GGAAUUUUGGACAAUGGGCGCAAGCCUGAUCCAGCCAUGCCGCGUGUGGGAAGAAGGCCUUCGGGUUGUAAACCACUUUUGUCAGGGAAGAAAUCGAGCUUACUAAUAUUAGGCUUGGAUGACGGUACCUGGAGAAUAAGCACCGGCUAACUACGUGCCAGCAGCCGCGGUAAUACGUAGGGUGCGAGCGUUAAUCGGAAUUACUGGGCGUAAAGCGUGCGCAGGCGGUUUUGUAAGUCAGAUGUGAAAGCCCCGGGCUCAACCUGGGAAUUGCAUUUGAAACUGCAAGGCUAGAGUGUGUCAGAGGGGGGUAGAAUUCCACGUGUAGCAGUGAAAUGCGUAGAGAUGUGGAGGAAUACCGAUGGCGAAGGCAGCCCCCUGGGAUAACACUGACGCUCAUGCACGAAAGCGUGGGGAGCAAACAGGAUUAGAUACCCUGGUAGUCCACGCCCUAAACGAUGUCAACUAGUUGUCGGAGAAGCAAUUCUUUGGUAACGCAGCUAACGCGUGAAGUUGACCGCC
rnacentral:rRNA from 1 species